rnacentral:rRNA from 1 species
GACAGAGGUGCCAAGCGUUAGGCGGAAUCACUGGGCUUAAAGCGUGUGUAGGCGGAUUGGUAAGUACCUUGUGAAAUCCCACAGCUCAACUGUGGAACUGCUGGGUAUACUGCUUAUCUUGAGCCACUUAGGGGCUGUCGGAACAAGUGGUGGAGCGGUGAAAUGCGUAGAUAUCAUUUGGAACGCCAAAGGUGAAAACAGACAGCUGGGAGUGUGCUGACGCUGAGACACGAAAGCCAGGGGAGCGAACGGG